UACAGAGGGGGCAAGCGUUGUUCGGAAUUACUGGGCGUAAAGGGCGCGUAGGCGGCCUGCUAAGUCGAACGUGAAAUCCCCGGGCUCAACCCGGGAACUGCGUCCGAUACUGGUUGGCUUGAAUCCGGGAGAGGGAUGCGGAGUUCCAGGUGUAGCGGUGAAAUGCGUAGAUAUCUGGAGGAACACCGGUGGCGAAGGCGGCAUCCUGGACCGGCAUUGACGCUGAGGCGCGAAAGCCAGGGGAGCAAACGGG
rnacentral:rRNA from 1 species